UACGUAGGGGGCAAGCGUUGUCCGGAAUCAUUGGGCGUAAAGAGCGUGUAGGCGGCCCGAUAAGUCCGCCGUGAAAGUCCAGGGCUCAACCCUGGAAUGCCGGUGGAAACUGUCGGGCUGGAGUCCGGAAGAGGCGAGUGGAAUUCCUGGUGUAGCGGUGAAAUGCGCAGAUAUCAGGAGGAACACCUAUGGCGAAGGCAGCUCUCUGGGACGGUACUGACGCUGAGACGCGAAAGCGUGGGGAGCGAACAGG
rnacentral:rRNA from 1 species